UACGUAGGCAGCAAGCGUUGCUCGGAGUUACUGGGCGUAAAGGGUGUGUAGGCGGUUCUUUAAGUUUGGUGUGAAAUCUCCCGGCUCAACCGGGAGGGUGCGCCGAAUACUGAGGAGCUAGAGCGCGGGAGAGGAAAGUGGAAUUCCUGGUGUAGCGGUGAAAUGCGUAGAUAUCAGGAGGAACACCGGUGGUGUAAACGGCUUUCUGGACCGUAACUGACGCUGAGACACGAAAGCGUGGGUAGCAAACAGG
rnacentral:rRNA from 1 species